UACGUAGGGAGCAAGCGUUGUCCGGAAUCAUUGGGCGUAAAGCGCGCGUAGGUGGCCCCAUAAGUCCGCUGUGAAAGUCAAAGGCUCAACCUUCGAAAGCCGGUGGAUACUGUGGGACUAGAGUACGGAAGAGGCGAGUGGAAUUCCUGGUGUAGCGGUAGAAUGCGCAGAUAUCAGGAGGAACACCAAUAGCGAAGGCAGCUCGCUGGGACGUUACUGACACUGAGGCGCGAAAGCCAGGGGAGCAAACGGG
rnacentral:rRNA from 1 species